GGGCCGGUAGAUAUAAUCAGUUCUAAUGCCUAUAAAAACCUUUACCUUUUUAUUGUAACAUAUUUUAUUUUGACACCAAACAUCAUAAUUAAUUCAUGGCAGUAGUAAAAAUUUUAUUCGUGUAGGCAUGUAAAUAAAGAUAAUUAGUUCGUAUCAAAAUUAUACCAGUAAAGUAUAAGCCCUUAAAUUACGGCAUCAGAAUAAAAUUAACCGAUAGACGUGCAGUAGAACGAGUGAAAAUGACAACGAUCGACGGAUCUAACUCACACAAAGUAACCAAAACGAUAGUCACUUCUCCGGAAAUUUAUAAACCCGUUGGACCAUACAGCCAAGCAAUCCUAUCUGGCAAAACUCUGUAUAUAUCUGGAGUCCUCGGGUUGGAUCAACAAGCUCAAUUAGUCUGCGGCGGUGCUGAAGCUCAAGCUAAGCAGGCACUGGACAAUAUGAAACACGUUCUAGAAGCUGGAGGGUCAUCAUUACCAGGCGUCAUUAAAACCACUAUUCUUUUGGCCAAUUUAGACGACUUUCAAGUAGUUAAUCAAAUAUAUGCCCAAUAUUUUCCUAAGGACCCCCCAGCGCGUGCCACGUAUCAGGUGGCUAGGUUACCGCUCGGAGCAGCCGUUGAAAUCGAAGCCAUUGCCCUCAGCGGGGACCUAGUAAUUGCUGAAGCAGGCCCGUGUCCCUGUGCUCGCCUAUAAUUUUAGACUUGCCUUGUUUUGAUUUAUGUAUUCGAUGUAAUUGUUCAGCGAUUUUAUUUGUAUUGUUCGUAUUUAACCAAAAAUAUGCAUUACGAAAUUCUUAUUAAAUAUAUUCAAAAUGUUAUAUUUUUUGCUUAGGAUAUAAAGUAGUAGAGUAAAUUUAAUUCAUAACUCCAAUUAGGUUGCUGUUUAAAAUAUAAAAUGUGUUGCUCAGCGAGUGAGUCAUAAAUAGAAAUGGUAUAUUGAUGUUUCUUUAUUACAAUCAAAUCAAAUAAUUUAUCACCUUUUUUUGCCUUUCAAUGAUUGAAUUAAGUGGCUAUUUAUUGAGCGUUUACUACAGCUUUUACUAUAGAGUUAAGUGCUAAGUUAUUAUAAUUAGUGGGUUUCGUUUCAACAAAAGAAUUAAUGCACGAAGGUUGUAUGAAAAACAAAAUCUAAACAGUAAUUGCGUCAGUGUGGAAGAAUGCUUUACUUACACUCGUUUAAUUUGAAAAACGCGAAGGGGGUUGCGAGUGGCGAGGUCAGCUGAGUGGGCUUUUUCCUCCCGUACGGCGUACCUAAUGGGUAUAUAUACGAUACAAUCUUGAGUGCGCAGUCGAGUUUAGUUCAAGUUGUUAACUCGCAGACUUGUGACGUACUAGUCAAAACUUACCCACACGUACUCGUAAAUUGAAAAUGGCAUAAAGCUGCACAAACCAUGGGCUGCACAAGCAGCGCUCCAGUUAUGGCAGACGCUCGGAGUGAUGCAACAGAUGGCGCCAAAUCGGAGACAAAUAAUGAAAACUAUGCGGCAGAGGAAAAAGUCCAGAAUACAUAUGUUAAUCACAAGAAUCACUUGAGUUUGGACAGCCACUAUUCUACUGAGAUGCUUCCUAACAGUGAUAAAAUAAAUGAAAACGUACAAUUACCUAGUUAUAAUUCUAUAUUUUUAAACAAUGACUCGGAUUGGCCAGCCAAAGGUUUGUAUAGACAAUUGUUUAAACAGUGAUAGCCAGAAAAACAUCGUUCAAACAGAGAAAAAAUUAAAAACAUUUAUCGAAGUAGUAGAUCAAGUUUUAGUGAAUAAUGUAGUAGAAGAUGAAAAAUUUGAAGAAUCACAAGAAACAGAUGCUGCAAGGAAUGAACCAACACCUGAGAGAGUUUCAAUAAAAGACGAAAUAAUACCAGCAGACAAUAAAACUCCUGAAAUAGUUAAUGAAAAUUUAGAAGAAAAGGACGAGGUAAUGAACAUUUUAGAACAUGAAAGUCCAACUCAGUCGGAAAACCGGUCCACUCGUUGGGAGGCUUUAGCGGAUAUAGCUGCAGAACUCCCACCUUCUCUCGCCGUGGACCCUGUCACUGGGCAAAUAUACUCGCUUACCAAAUAACACAUCUCUUAAAUAAAGUUUCGUCAUACGG